rnacentral:rRNA from 1 species
CAGCCGCCGCGGUAAUACGUAGGUGGCAAGCGUUGUCCGGAAUUAUUGGGCGUAAAGGGCUCGCAGGCGGUUUCUUAAGUCUGAUGUGAAAGCCCCCGGCUCAACCGGGGAGGGUCAUUGGAAACUGGGAAACUUGAGUGCAGAAGAGGAGAGUGGAAUUCCACGUGUAGCGGUGAAAUGCGUAGAGAUGUGGAGGAACACCAGUGGCGAAGGCGACUCUCUGGUCUGUAACUGACGCUGAGGAGCGAAAGCGUGGGGAGCGAACAGGAUUAGAUACCCCCGUAGUCCCUGUCUCUUAUAA